rnacentral:rRNA from 1 species
CAUGCAAGUCGAACGGUCCCUUCGGGGAUAGUGGCGGACGGGUGAGUAACGCGUGAGGAUCUGGCUACAGGACGGGGACAACGAAUGGAAACGUUCGCUAAUACCCGAUGUGCCGAGAGGUGAAAGAUUUAUUGCCUGUAGAUGAACUCGCGUCGGAUUAGCUAGUUGGUGGGGUAAGGGCCUACCAAGGCGACGAUCCGUAGCUGGUCUAAGAGGAUGAUCAGCCACACCGGGACUGAGACACGGCCCAGACUCCUACGGGAGGCAGCAGUGGGGAAUUUUCCGCAAUGGGGGGAACCCUGACGGAGCAACGCCGCGUGCGGGAGGAAGGCCUUCGGGUUGUAAACCGCUUUUCUCUGGGAAGAAGAACUGACG